CUUUCUUUUUUCCUUUUUUUCUCUUUUUCCCUUUUUCCCCUUUCUCUCUCCCCUUUUUUUCCCUUUUUUCCCCUUUCCUUCCCUUCUUCCUGAUCAGAUAAACCACCAGGCCUGAAGGUUCUCAGAAAUGUGCCCAAGUCGUCUAGCAAAAAGGAGGAAUUGAGUACUUAAUAUUAACAAGGAAAAUUACCGUCUCGUCCAGUGGAGGGAGUUUUCUUUCUUUUCCUGGAUGCACAUCCUGUGCACUUGAAGACAGAGGUGCAGAAGGACAGCCCCUACCUAUUAGUUCUGGGUUUCUUCCCUUCAAAUACUUGCUGAUGAGCAAGACACCGUGUGUAAGCCUAAGAGAAACACAGAGAUAGUGGAACACAAGAACAACAACAAAAGCAUCUUUGGUGUUUCUAAAAGUGUGGAGGGAGAAGAAAAUUCACCCUGGGGGAAAGCACUGGCAGGUGUGGGUUUCACAGCACCACUGUACCUGUCACCUCCUCCUCACGAGAGAUGUGUGCAAGACAAAGGGAACAGCCUUGCUGAGGGGAAGUGAGGGUGAGACAGAAAUUAAUCAGCAGGAGUGUUUAACACCAUUGCAUCUGAAUCUGAAGUUUUGGCUUCUAGCAUCUUGUGUGAUGGUGUCUGCUCCUUGAGUGGAUAAAAACCACUUAAGAUUGUGGGGCAAAGGGGAAAAAAAGAAGGUCCAGAGUGUAGCAAGCCAACGAGUUAGAGAGCCAUCGCUCAGAGCUGGGAGUGUGCAGUUCCACCAAAGGAAACAGCUGGAAGGAGCAGUGAGCAGCCAGCCACCCCUCAGAGGUGAAGAAAACCUUGCUAAGAGACUGAGUAGUGUUUUAUUUCAGCUCAAAGCCAGCCAGCUAUGCCGAGCCUGGAAACAACAAGACUCUUGGGAGAGAAACAUUGGUUUAGAAAUUCUUCUCUUCCAUCUUGCCUAGCCAUUUUGAGUCUAUAUUCAAAAUACGGUCUCACUAAUGCGCAGAGGGAAAUCCUACUAAUGUCUGUUCCUACUUGGUCUAUUUACUUAAAGGGUUAAAUCUGCCCUUUUAUUUAUUUCUAUGUCAGUGUCUUCUGGGAUAAUUUCUCUUCCUGGGAGACAUCUAUUCCUUGUGGCCAGAUGAACCUUCCUUUUGAUCAGUAUCAAACACACACUUUACUAAGUGAUUUAGGCCACUCAGCAACUUGUCCUCAUUAAUAACAAAUUGGUGGAUCAAAAUAAUUGUAUUUUAUUUCAUGUCAUUUAUGAAAAUAUUGUACAUUGUUGAACAGAUCUGCAGAACUAGUCCACUGCAAAUGAAAAACUUCCUCUCCAAAAGUAAUUUAGUAUAAAUUGACCUUUUAGUUUUUCCCCUUCAGAUUCUCAAGUGAGAUUACAAAACCCUCAACUAUACUCUGUUAUGCAAUAAUCAAUUCUGCCAUACAAUAAUCAGCCACAUUUGCCAUCUCAUCAAGUUUAGUCUUGUAGUUUUGUUUAGCAAAGCCAGAGUUGCUUUUUCCCAAAGCCAUGAGGUUAGCUUAUUAUUUACUCACUGCAUAGACCUAGAGUUUGAUCUUAUUGAUCCCUGUCACAACAUCCACUUUUUUGGAACUUUCCCAGUUUUCCAAGGUAAACUUAAAAAUCAUGUCAUCACCAUUCAGGGAGCUCCUUACCACUUUAGUGCUCAUAAAUCCACUAUCUGUUCUUGUCAGACUUAUUACUUGCACAAUAAUGUCAUUUACAACAAACUUUAUGAUUUAUUUUUAAGCAAAAAUAUCAGUAGCCUUUAUAGAGCUGCACUAGAUGCUACCACUGCUGCUCUGAAAUUCCUGAUGUAUCACUUCUCCAAACUCAUCGAGAAGUCUUAGGCAAACCAACUGGCUAACUUGGUACAAAACUAGAUUGACAUUAGAAAGGACAACCAAACCAAGAGACUUCUUCCUUAUUCUACACAGAACCUAAAGAUAUAUGGGAAGUUUAAGUACUAACAGAUUCAAGACAUAUAAAGAUAUUAACAGGAAAGCCUUUUUUUACAGGAGAUACCUUUUCUUUACUUUUGAGAUCAAAGUAACUGCUGCAUGUAACCAUGUCUGACCAUCUCAGGUGCCCAUUUUUAUCCACACUUUGGACUCGUGGCACACAGUGAGCCCCACUCUUCUGUUCUGCCCCUUACUCUGCAACUUCUUUCAAAAGGAGCCUCCCCUUUACAAUCACCUAGAAAGUUACGCACUCUCCACACCUCUAUUUUAGAGUAUAUCCAAAGCUCACAGCAGCCCUCAGGGAGGAAAGGGGAGAAGAAGGGGGAAAAACACCUGGAACUGGAACUCAACUGCAGCAAUUCCCCCAUGCCCUAAGCUUACCCGUAGCAAGCCUUUCAGUACCUUUCUCAGGGUGAAUUCAGUAUCUUUCACGGGAUGAAUGUCUUUUGCUAAACCAAGACGAAAUUGUUCUUUGUAAACCAGAGUAAGCACGACC